AUUGAACGCUGGCGGCAUGCCUUACACAUGCAAGUCGAACGGUAGCGCGGGGGCGAACCCUCGGCGACGAGUGGCGAACGGGUGAGUAAAGUAUCGGAACGUGCCCUAGAGUGGGGAGUAACUAGUCGAAAGACUAGCUAAUACCGCAUACGAUCUAUGGAUGAAAGUAGGGGGAGUCGCAAGACCUCAUGCUCAUGGAGCGGCCGAUAUCUGAUUAGCUAG
rnacentral:rRNA from 1 species